rnacentral:rRNA from 1 species
GAAUCUGCCUUCAGGAGGGGGAUAACGACUAGAAAUGGUCGCUAAUACCCCAUAUGCCUAUGGGUGAAACGAGUUUUGCCUGAAGAUGAGCUCGCGUCAGAUUAGCUAGUUGGUGAGGUAACGGCUCACCAAGGCGACGAUCUGUAGCUGGUCUGAGAGGAUGAUCAGCCACACUGGGACUGAGACACGGCCCAGACUCCUACGGGAGGCAGCAGUGGGGAAUUUUCCGCAAUGGGCGAAAGCCUGACGGAGCAAGACCGCGUGGGGGAUGAAUGCCUAAUGGUUGUAAACCCCUUUUAUUCGGGAAGAUAAUGACGGUACCGAAUGAAUCAGCCUCGGCUAACUCCGUGCCAGCAGCCGCGGUAAUACGGAGGAGGCAAGCGUUAUCCGGAAUUAUUGGGCGUAAAGCGUCCGUAGGUGGUUGGACAAGUCAGCUGUUAAAGAGUGGUGCUUAACACCAUAAAGGCGGUUGAAACUGUUUAACUAGAGUUUGGUAGGGGUUGCGGGAAUUCCCAGUGUAGCGGUGAAAUGCGUAGAUAUUGGGAAGAACACCGGUGGCGAAAGCGCGCGACUGGACCUGAACU